rnacentral:rRNA from 1 species
UACGUAGGGGGCAAGCGUUGUCCGGAAUUAUUGGGCGUAAAGAGCUCGUAGGCGGUUCGAUAAGUCGGACGUGAAAUCUCCACGCUCAACGUGGAGGGGCCGUUCGAUACUGUCGUGACUCGAGUCCGGUAGGGGAGUGUGGAAUUCCCGGUGUAGCGGUGAAAUGCGCAGAGAUCGGGAGGAACACCCGUAGCGAAGGCGGCACUCUGGGCCGGUACUGACGCUGAGGAGCGAAAGCGUGGGGAGCAAACAGG